UCAUAUGCUUGUCUCAAAGCUUAAGCCAUGCAAGUGUAAGUUCAUGCCGUAAACGAAUGGUGAAACCGCGAAUGGCUCAGGAACCGGACCUAAUCCUCGGGACCGUAUUCCUCACCGCGAGGAGAGUGGAUAACUGUGGCAAUUCUAGAGCUAAUACAUGCAACUGAGGCCGCGAUCGCAGGUCGCACCCGGGAUUCGGACGAAACAGCGUUCGUUCUGCGUCGCCGUCGUCGUCGGCGUCUUCUCGUCGUCGCGUUCGGGUCGUCGUGCGUCCGUUGCCGGAACCCGCUCGGUCGGACCGAUCGUCGUUAUGCGGCGGUCGCCGGCUGCGAUGAUACGGUCGUCCUUCGCAUUGGUCGCGGCGCAAAUAUUAGACUGAGACCGACGCGUUCAAGCCGUCGCAGCAGCCGCCGCUCGCUUCCGCGCGGUUCCGCCGCGUUCUUAUUCGCCGGCGUCGCUCGUCGUCGUCCGGCGUUGCGCGCGCGCGGUCCGCCGGUUGCGUAACGGGUCAAGGCGUGCGGCGUCACGCCCUUCGAUUUUGGUGACUCUGGAUAACUGUCAGUACGAUCGCACGGGCUAGAAUCGACUAGCCUUCGCGCGACGGGUCCCCCGCGAGUCCGCCCUAUCAACUGUCGACGGCCCGGUAAGUGCCGACCGUGGUGGCAACGGGUAACGGGGAAUCAGGGUUCGAUUCCGGAGAGGGAGCAUGCGAAACGGCUACCACAUCCAAGGAAGGCAGCAGGCGCGCAAAUUACCCACUCCCGGCACGGGGAGGUAGUGACGAAAAAUAACGACGCGGGACUCUGUCGAGGCCCCGCGAUCGGAAUGAGUACACUUCAAAUCCGUUAACGAGGAUCGACCGGAGGGCAAGUCUGGUGCCAGCAGCCGCGGUAAUUCCAGCUCCGGUAGCGUAUAUUAAAAUUGUUGCGUUUGAAAAGCUCGUAGUCGGAAUUCGGGUCUCGAAAACGUGCCCCAGCACGUUCGGGGCGUCGGCGCCGUUGUAGGCACGCGCUUCGUGCGCGCGUCGACUUCGGUCGUCCGUACGCACUCCCGGCCCUAUUCGCCGGUGCGUGCGCGGUCGCGCCGCAGAGCUCUGCACGCAUCGCCGCGCUUGUUCGGUUGGCUCGGUUUCGAUGGCGCGAUGGCGGUCGUCGUCGCGUUUGUUUUGUCGUUCUCGCGUCGGUCUCCGUUCGCGGUCUCCGUUCGCGGUCCGGCUGCUUGCGCGCACGCGCGUGCCAGUCCGUCCGCCGUUCGACCGGUGCCUGUCCGACUGCACGGUCGCGUGUCCAUCUCGCGGUCUUUAGCCGAUCCGCACGGUUCCUCCGAGGGUGCUCUUUACCGAGUGUCCGAGGCGGCCGGUACGUUCACUGUGAAAAAAUUAGAGUGCUCAGAGCGAGCCCCACCGGCUUGCAUACGAAAAGCAUGGAAUGAUGGAAAAUGGCCUCGUCCGCGCGUCAUCCGUCGGUCUCCGUUCACGACGAGGCAAUGAUCGAAGGGAGCGAUCGGGGCCACUCGUAUUGCGACGUUAGAGGUGAAAUUCUUGGAUCGUCGCAAGACGCACUGCAGCGACGGCGUGUGGCAAGCACGUUUUCCUCGAUCAAGAGCGAAAGUCGGAGGUUCGAAGACGAUCAGAUACCGUCGUAGUUCCGACCGUAAACGAUGCCGACUGGCGCUCCGCCGGCGUUCGCUUCGAUGACCCGGCGGGGAGCCUGCGCGGGAAACCAUAGUCGGUUCCGGGGGGAGUAUGGUUGCAAAACAGAAACUUAAAGGAAUUGACGGAAGGGCACCACCAGGAGUGGAGCCUGCGGCUUAAUUUGACUCAACACGGGAAAACUCACCCGGUCCGGACACCGGUAGGAUUGACAGAUCGAUAGCUCUUUCUCGAUUCGGUGGGUGGUGGUGCAUGGCCGUUCUUAGUUGGUGGAGCGAUCCGUCUGGUUGAUUCCGAUAACGAACGAGACUCCGGCCUGCUAACUAGCGCGUCGAUUAGUGUAUUGCCGGUAGCGUGGCGGCGCCGAAGCCGUCGUCGGUAGCUGUGCGCAUGGCGCGAGCUCGCUGUUGCUGCUGCUUUUGUCGGUUCCGCGUGUGCGUGUUCGUUGCUGGCGCGUGUCUGCUGGCGUUGGUCGGGUCGUCUGGUUGCGCGUCGCGUUCGCGUGGCGCGUGCCGGACGGUCUUCUCUCGCUGGCAGCGCGUGUCGGUGGCGGCUGCUGCGCGGACCGGCCGCGGUGGUGGUGGCUGGUGGGCUCGGCUGUCGCUAGCGCCGGUGUCGGCACGCCGUCGCGUCCGGGCCAGUCGGUUGGCGAACGCAGCGCUUCUUAGAGGGACGGGCGGCAGAAAGCCGCACGAGGCGGAGCGAUAACAGGUCUGUGAUGCCCUUAGAUGUCCGGGGCCGCACGCGCGCUACACUGGAGGUAUCAGCGGGCGCGUUUCCCCCGGCCCGAGAGGGUCGGGAAACCUCUGAACCACCUCCCGUGAUAGGGAUCGGGGCCUGGAACCAACCCCGUGAACGAGGAAUUCCCGGUAGGCGCUGGUCAUCAGCCCGCGUCGAUCACGUCCCUGCCCUUUGUACACACCGCCCGUCGCUACUACCGAUCGAACGGUCCGGUGAGGUCCUCGGAUCUGGCCGACGAGUUCGCAGGCCGCGCGGUGGUGUUUCGUGUCGGCCGAUUUCGUAUCGGUCGGUUCGUUGCCGUCGUCGGCGCGCUCUCUGAUGGCCCGGAGAAGACGACCGAACCCGAUCGCUUAGAGGAAGUAAAAGUCGUAACAAGGUUUCC
rnacentral:rRNA from 1 species